AAAAACAUAGUAUAAAAUAAUACAAUUCACUUACACUGAAUAUAUACUUUAAUAAAAAGUUGUUUUUA
rnacentral:tRNA from 1 species